AUUGAACGCUGGCGGCAGGCCUAACACAUGCAAGUCGAGCGGAUGAAGGGAGCUUGCUCCUGGAUUCAGCGGCGGACGGGUGAGUAAUGCCUAGGAAUCUGCCUGGUAGUGGGGGAUAACGUCCGGAAACGGGCGCUAAUACCACAUACGUCCUGAGGGAGAAAGUGGGGGAUCUUCGGACCUCACGCUAUCAGAUGAGCCUAGGUCGGAUUAGCUAGUUGGUGGGGUAAAGGCCUACCAAGGCGACGAUCCGUAACUGGUCUGAGAGGAUGAUCAGUCACACUGGAACUGAGACACGGUCCAGACUCCUACGGGAGGCAGCAGUGGGGAAUAUUGGACAAUGGGCGAAAGCCUGAUCCAGCCAUGCCGCGUGUGUGAAGAGGGUCUUCGGAUUGUAAAGCACUUUAAGUUGGGAGGAAGGGCAGUAAGUUAAUACCUUGCUGUUUUGACGUUACCAACAGAAUAAGCACCGGCUAACUUCGUG
rnacentral:rRNA from 1 species